AAAUGUAAGGCUCAGUUAAGUUGGUUCGGCAAAUUUGUUCAUAAGCAUAGGCUAGUAGGACCAAUAGACUGCCGUAGGAGGAAAAUGUGGGCUACCACGAAGGAUAAGAAGCGCGGAACCACCAAAGAUAAAAAUAAUAGGAAGUGGUUGCCUAUGAGCAGGCCGUCCAAACUUCCCCUUGUUUGAAGCAAAAAUUUUUUAGUUUCCUCAACUUAUCAUCAGGCCGACUAAACUCCCACUUGUUCGAAACAAAAAAUUGCCACGCUUUUCUCAACUUAUCAUCAUCGCCUCAAAGAAGAGCUAGUAAAUAGAAAAAAACACCAAGGAAUGAAGGCGCUUUCCUCAACUUAUCAUCAUUGCCUCAAAUAAAAGCUAGUAAAUAGAAAAGAACACCAAGGAAUGAAGGAAACCAAGUAAUAUCAGUAAAAUAAUGAUGUAUCGAAGCAGUGCAGCCCAUCCAAAGUUACUCCAUUCAAUGCCAAACAAAAAUAGGAAUAGAAAACUUCAGUACAGCCAAACACUUGUAAAGCUGGUUGCCCACAAAUUAUCUGACCAUCAAACAGAAAUAAAAUGCCCGAGGGUCAUAUUUGGCCACCAAUUAAACAUCAGGUGAUCCAAUCCCACAACCCACACCUCAUGAAAAAAAAGAUUGUAAAAAGAGAGCUGACGUCAAAUUCCGAAUCACCAGGAAGGCAUCACAUAUGCACACUUAAAAUUAUAGAGUAGCAAAACAGCAGGUUGACAAUGAUGGUUACUUGUGGAGUCAUCCAUUAUGCAUGAUCUAAGGGAUGCAUGCUAGGAUUGAUCUAAUGACUAAGAAGGUUAUAACACAUGAACACUUCAAUACUUCUAAAAACAUUCCAGUUGGAUUGUCCCUCUCUCUAGCCUUUCAUUCAACCAGUCUAGUCAACAUCCUGCAACCAAUAAUACUAAUUGAACAACUAUUAGACUAUCAUAUUGAUUGAGGAUCACAUAACUUAUGAUACAACAAAUCUGUAGAACGGCUUUGUUGUAGAAGGUUGCAUAUUGUGGGAGGAUAAAGUGCUAUGAUUUAAGUGUUGCUUAAAAAAAAAAAAGCGCUAAGAUACAAAAAAGGAAUCCAAGUUACCUGUGGAUGAUCUCUACCAAGAUCUACUACUUUUUACCCCGAUUAAAAAUAGGAGUACCAAAUUUGACUACAACUAAACCUGAGCACAUUCUUGUGCCAGCCACCAUCCCAAAAAUUUAACAACAUAUACAGUUAGUAUUGAUGAUUCAAUUUAAUUAAUGGGGAAAAGACACUUUAUGCAUUGGAUGUAUACAAUUUUCUUAAUUUAAAACUAAGGCAUCAGCUUUGAUUCCAAACAAAUGAAGCACACAGUAACAGUUAAGGGUGCGCGCUUUUCUUACAUCUAAAAAAAUCCUAGCAAGAAUUCAACUCCAAUGUCGACAGUCAAAACCAAGUAAAUUAUUUAAAAAGUCAAUAAGCAAGAAACAAACGAAACAGUUGUAUAAAUUCUGUUAUAAUGACCCACGGAAAAAGAGGGGGGAAAAAGGGGAAAAGAAAAUCAAUUGAAACAAUGUAAAAAAAGGUGGACAAAAAGGUAAGGCUCAGUUAAGUUGGAUCGGCAACAUUGCUCAUAAGUACUCGGCAACAUCUCUCAUAAGUACACAGGGUAGUAGUAGGAGCAAUAGCUUCGCGUAAGAGGGAAAUGUGUGCAACCACGAAGAAUAAGAACGGUAGGAAGCGGUUGUCGAGCAAUAAAUUACCGUUGGAGGAACAUGUGUGCAACCACCAAGGAAAAAAAAAAAUGAAGCGGUUGCCAAUGAGUAGGCCGUCCAAACUUCCGCUUGUUCGAAGUAAACAUUUUCUGCACUUUCUGGUUGCCGAGCAAUAAAUUACCGCCAGAGGAAAAUGUACGCAACCACCAAGGAUAAGACAAUAUGAAGCGGCUGCCUAUGAGUAGGUCAUCCAAACCUCAACUUGUUCGAAGUAAACAUUUUCCUCACUUUUCUCAACUUUUCAUCAUCGCCUCGAAGAAGAGCUAGAAAUUAGAAAGAAACAGCAAGGAAUGGGAAAAAUCAAGUAAUCUUAGGAAAAUAACAAUGAAUCAAAGCAGCUGAGGCCAUCUAAAGGAACUGUAUUUAAUCUUAAACAAAGUUUGGAAUAGUAAACCCCAGCGCAACUAAACAUUUGUAAAACUGGUUGCCCACAAAAGAUUCGGCUAUCAGCCAGAAAAUAAAAUAUCCGAGGGUCAUAUUUGGCCACCAGCUAAACAUUAGGUGAUCCAAUCUCACAGCUCAUACCUCAUGAAAAUAAAGAGUGCAAAAAGAGAGCUGUUGGUAAAUCCUGAAUCAGCAGGUAGGUAGCAGAUGAGCACACUGAAAAGCACAACUUUUUCAUCUUAAAUAAAUAGGAAUGCCAAACUCGAGUACAACUAAACAUCAUAACAUUAUUAUGUCCACUCAAAUAAGUUCGUAUUGUCAUAUAAAUAAACUUGAUUAUUAACUGGCUAUUUGUUCAAUGGCACAUUGGUGUGUUUGCAAUUAAGAAAAUGAUAGAACCAAUGUAAAUUUACAUGAUUGUUACAUGAUUGUUUUUUUGCCAGUAGUAAUCUUAGUAGAUAGAGUGUUUAACAAAGAAAAAGAGAACUAAAACUCUUGAUUCAGUACAAAGCAUAAAAUAAAUUUUGGCAUCAAAACAAAAUAUUCAAGAUGGUACAUUCUAAUUUUCUCUGACUUUGUUUUAAUUUUAUCAUAAUCUGAUUCUACCGUCGUCUAGGUUGUAGGAAGAUUCAAGAAUUCUGAUCCCUCACUACAGGUUUUAAAAAUUUAAAUUAAAAUAAAUACCAGUAAGAUCUACAAUCCAAAAUAAAUUACAAAUAUAGCAUUGUUCACUGUAAAUGUUGGUAAAAAUGUAUCGAACUUACCUGAAACAUGAGCCAUUUCGUGAAGCGCCUUGCGAUCGCCUCGGCAUUUCGUCGAACAGGGCGCGAGCGAUAGGGAGAGGGCGCGGGGGCCUGCGAGCUCCUCGAAUGUUAGUAAAAAUGUAUAGAACUUACCUGAAGCAUGAGCCAUUUCGCGAAGCGCCCUGCGAUCGCCUCGGCAUUUCGUCAAACAAGGCGCGAGCGCUAGGGAGAGGGCGCGGGGGCC
rnacentral:lncRNA from 1 species